rnacentral:rRNA from 1 species
CCUANGGGUGGCUGCAGUCGAGGAUCUUCCGCAAUGCGCGAAAGCGUGACGGAGCGACGCCGCGUGGGUGAUGAAGGCCUUCGGGUUGUAAAGCCCUGACACCUGGGAAGAAUGGCGGGAGGUGAAUAGCCAUCUCGCUUGACGCUACCAGGAGAGGAAGCACCGGCUAAAUACGUGCCAGCAGCCGCGGUAAUACGUAUGGUGCGAACGUUGUUCGGAAUCACUGGGCAUAAAGAGCACGUAGGCGGUUGAGCAAGUCCAUUGUGAAAUCCCCCGGCUUAACCGGGGAACUGCUGUGGAUACUACUUGACUUGAGUGCAGGAGGGGAGAGUGGAAUUCCAGGUGGAGCGGUGAAAUGCGUAGAUAUCUGGAGGAACGCCGGUGGCGAAAGCGACUCUCUGGUCUGCAACUGACGCUGAGGUGCGAAAGCUAGGGGAGCAAACGGGAUUAGAUACCCCGNUANUC